AGUGAACGCUGGCGGUAGGCCUAACACAUGCAAGUCGAACGGCAGCACAGUAAGAGCUUGCUCUUACGGGUGGCGAGUGGCGGACGGGUGAGGAAUACAUCGGAAUCUACUUUUUCGUGGGGGAUAACGUAGGGAAACUUACGCUAAUACCGCAUACGACCUACGGGUGAAAGCAGGGGAUCUUCGGACCUUGCGCGAUUGAAUGAGCCGAUGUCGGAUUAGCUAGUUGGCGGGGUAAAGGCCCACCAAGGCGACGAUCCGUAGCUGGUCUGAGAGGAUGACCAGCCACACUGGAACUGAGACACGGUCCAGACUCCUACGGGAGGCAGCAGUGGGGAAUAUUGGACAAUGGGCGCAAGCCUGAUCCAGCCAUACCGCGUGGGUGAAGAAGGCCUUCGGGUUGUAAAGCCCUUUUGUUGGGAAAGAAAAGCAGCGGGUUAAUACCCCGCUGUUCUGACGGUACCCAAAGAAUAAGCACCGGCUAACUUCGUG
rnacentral:rRNA from 1 species